rnacentral:tRNA from 1 species
GCCCGGAUGGCGAAAUCGGUAAACGCAAGGGACUUAAAAUCCCUCGGGGGUAACCCCGUGCCGGUUCGACCCCGGCUCCGGGCACCA